rnacentral:tRNA from 3 species
GCCCGGUUAGCUCAAUUGGUCAGAGCGUCGGACUUUUAUGAUGAUUCGUAAUCCGAAGGCUGCGAGUUCGACCCUCGCAUCGGGCG